rfam:Daedalea quercina L-15889 unplaced genomic scaffold DAEQTscaffold_1, whole genome shotgun sequence.
GGUGAGAUGGCCGAGCGGUCUAAGGCGCCAGACUAAGGUGUUCUAAGGAAGUAACUAGCUUCCUCUUGCAGUAACUCACUGUAAUCUGGUCCGAAAGGGCGUGGGUUCGAAUCCCACUCUCAUCA